UACGUAGGGUGCAAGCGUUGUCCGGAAUUAUUGGGCGUAAAGAGCUCGUAGGCGGUUCGUCGCGUCGGCUGUGAAAACCCGGAGCUCAACUCCGGGCCUGCAGUCGAUACGGGCGGACUAGAGUUCGGCAGGGGAGACUGGAAUUCCUGGUGUAGCGGUGGAAUGCGCAGAUAUCAGGAGGAACACCGGUGGCGAAGGCGGGUCUCUGGGCCGAUACUGACACUGAGAAGCGAAAGCGUGGGGAGCGAACAGG
rnacentral:rRNA from 1 species